GUGCCUGGCAGAGACUGUAUGGUUGCAAAUGUUACCCGGUACUAAACCAGAUUAAUUUUCCAUUCAAGAAGAAAAGCAAGCAAAUUGGGCUAAAGGAGGCGAAUUGCAUUGCAUGGACCUAUUAUUUAGCACGUUUGAAAUGAAAGCCAAUACUGCUAUUGAAGUGCAGGCUGAGAGCUUUCCCUUCCUCUAUCUAACGCCCGCCCACAGGUUGCCUGGCAACCGCAUUACCGUGCUGAGAACACUCCCCAGCGAUAACUGACCCUGCAUUUUAAUUUUUGUGCUGAUGCUUAAGUGGGGCAAAUAAAUAAAUGCCAUCGCCCUGAAACAGUACUCAUCUCGACUAAAGAGCUGCAUGUGUAGAUUACAGGAUGACAAAUAGAGGGGUUAAAAAAAAAAUUGGUGAAGUCUUUCUCUUUUCAGAAGAUGCUGUUUAAAAAUUAUGAAAACUCUGGGUAGGCGUGUGGAAAAACCUAGUCAAACGGUGGAAUGAAGUUAAGAACGAAUGAUGAAUUUCACCAAAAGAUUUUUAACAUCUACAGUAGCAUAAAGAAUUAAAUGUUAAUUUUUAUGAUCCCUUAAUUGGAAUAGUUCUUCCAAAACCAGGAAAUAACAGUAGAUGUGGUACGCUAAAAGGAUCUGGUGGGCCACGUAUGAGCCU
rnacentral:lncRNA from 1 species